rnacentral:rRNA from 1 species
GCUUACACGACACGCUACAAUGGCCGGUACAAUGGGUAGCCAAGCCGCGAGGCGGAGCCAAUCCCGCAAAGCCGGUCGCAGUCUCGGAUUGCAGGCGUGCAACUCGCGCUGCAGUGAAGUGCGGAGCUUGCUAGUAACCGCAGGUCAGCCACAACUGCGGUGAACUACGUGUCCCGGGCCNUGUACACACCGCCCGUCACGUCAUGGAAGCUGGCAACGCCUGAACUCGCGUGGGUGAACCGCGCCAAGGGACACAACCGCCUAAGGUGGGGUGGUGACUGGGACGAAGUCGUACAAGGUAGCUGUAGCGGAAGCCUGCGGCUGGAUCACCUCAAUAAUCUAGAUGCAUUCGGAGUACCGACUAGUUC